CUGUGAAUGACACGGACAAGCUAAUGGCCUAAGCAGCACUGAGACAAGUUCAGGACAUCUUGUGACACCCUACCAAAGAAGGUGAGUUGAGGCCAUGAGUAUGCAACUCUUCUGACCUUAGCUUUUGUUGCAUAGGAAUGAGGACAACGUGGUAGACCAAAGGCAGGCAAAUACGUUCCAGUAUUUCAUAAAUGCAAACACUCACAGGAUUUAUGCUAGUUGAAAUUCAGAUUAAUUUAUUUCUUAAUUAGGAUUACCCACACUUUGCUAAUACAAAAGGAAAAGAAAUCCACUGCCUGAUAUAAUAUGGCCUUAUAUGCUAUCUCAUAAAAGUCUUAAUGUAAAUCUCCAUUCAAACAGGAAAACUCAGUGGUGAAAUAUGAGACAACCUCCAGGCAUCUGGGGAACUUUCAUCCCAUCAGAUAAGUUUUCCACCAACUACAUGUA
rnacentral:lncRNA from 1 species